GCCGUCAUGCGGAGAAUGGUAUUCCACCUGGUUUGAGCCCAGGGCCCUUACGGGCAUCCAGGUUCGAUUCCUGGUGACGGCG
rnacentral:tRNA from 1 species